GUUUUUCGGACGACAAAGAUUCUACGCCAUUCGGCCAAUCAUAUUCCAUAAUUGCAGCCGAGCCCCCGUUGAUCUAGAACGGGAUUGGCCGGACGACGUACAAUCUUCGUCGUCUGAGAGACAUCGAACGAGGGGUACAUCGACUGAACAUACAUUGCGAUUCAAUAUUCAUUAUUUUAUGACCGUGAUUGCAAUCCAAAUUUGCAUUUGAGCUCAGCAGUCGAGUGUGGUGCCAAAAAUGCCAGAAGCGAUGUCCUAUAUACGGCCUUGACCAGAAGUGUUGCAUGCCCUGGAUGCAGAACAAAAAGAUUGAGAUGAGUGGAUCAAGAUGUAUCUUUCGUGCAGAUGUAUCAAGAUCCUUUCACUUAAGAUCCAUGCAGACGCAAACUUUGGAUGAACUUCUGCUUCUGCGGUCGGCAUUCUUACAGGAGAACCCGAGAUUCAUUGUACCUACCUGUAUGCAUUUCAAAACUGAAUAAUUGAUAGCAACAAGUAAAUAUUUGAAGUUGCAGCCAAAUGCUGUGCCUUCUCUGCUGCAGGAGCUACAUGUCACCAUUGAAGCAAGGACCAGCUCGACUCCUGCAGUAGGAGUCCAGCCUCGUCCAGUCGUCGCCGCUCGCCAAGACCAGCCGGACUCCUGCAAUAGGGGUCCAGGCUGACCCGUUCGUCCAGUAACCGCCGCUCGUCAGCACCAGCUGGGCUCCUGUAGUAGGAGUCCAGCCUCGUCCAGUCGCCGCCGCUCGCCAAGACCAGCUGGGCUCCUGUAGUAUGGGGCUAGGAUGGCCCGUUCAUCAACCGGUCCUGAAGUCAUCGCCGUCAGCCAGUGUUUCAUUUUUCAGCCUUUUUGGUGGCAAAUCACACCUAAUGGGGAAA